rnacentral:rRNA from 1 species
UACGUAGGGUGCGAGCGUUGUCCGGAAUUAUUGGGCGUAAAGGGCUCGUAGGCGGUUUGUCGCGUCGGGUGUGAAAACCUACAGCUUAACUGUGGGCUUGCUUUCGAUACGGGCAGACUAGAGGUAUGCAGGGGAGAACGGAAUUCCUGGUGUAGCGGUGAAAUGCGCAGAUAUCAGGAGGAACACCGGUGGCGAAGGCGGUUCUCUGGGCAUUACCUGACGCUGAGGAGCGAAAGUGUGGGGAGCGAACAGG